UCGAACCCUGCAAGGCAGAACGACCCGUGAACAUGUAACCACAACGGGGUGACGUGGAAAUGGGCCUUGGUCCUGAUCCCCUAAACCCUUCUGACAUGCAUUAGUGGUGCCUUAUUUUGGGGCACUAUUGAUGUCUUGUCGGACCAUAACCAACCCCGGCACGGAAUGUGCCAAGGAAAACAAAAAAUGAUAAGGACCCGUCUUAUAUCGCCCCGUUCGCGGUGUGCGUGCAGAUCGUGGCCUCCUUGGAAUCACAAACGACUCUCGGCAACGGAUAUCUCGGCUCACGCAUCGAUGAAGAACGUAGCAAAAUGCGAUACUUGGUGUGACUUGCAGAAUCCCGUGAACCAUCGAGUUUUUGAACGCAAGUUGCGCCCGAAGCCUUCUGGCCGAGGGCACGUCUGCCUGGGCGUCACGCAUCGCGUCGCCCCCCAC
rnacentral:misc_RNA from 1 species